GAUGAACGCUGGCGGCGUGCCUAAUACAUGCAAGUCGAGCGAACGGACGAGAAGCGUGCUUCCUUGAUGUUAGCGGCGGACGGGCGAGUAACACGUGGAUAACCAACCUAUAAGACUGGGAUAAUAUCGGGAAACAGGAGACACUACUAGCUCAUAUGUUGAACCGCAUGGUUCAAAAGAGCAUGACGGUCUUCCCGUCUCUUAUAGAUGGUUCCGCGCUGCAUUAGCUAGUUGGUAAGGUAACGGCUUACCAAGGCAACGAUGCAUAGCCGACCUGAGAGGGUGAUCGGCCACACUGGAGCUGAGACACGGUCCAGACUCCUACGGGAGGCAGCAGUAGGGAAUCUUCCGCAAUGGGCGAAAGCCUGACGGAGCAACGCCGCGUGAGUGAUGAAGGUCUUCGGAUCGUAAAGCUCUGUUAUUAGGGAAGAACAUAUGUGUAAGUAACUGUGCACAUCUUGACGGUACCUAAUCAGAAAGCCACGGCUAACUACGUG
rnacentral:rRNA from 1 species